GAGAUGUUGGGUGGGGAUGACGUCAAAUCGGGGGACAGAGUGACAGGUGGUGCAUGGUAGUCGUCAGCUCGUGUCGUGAGAUGUUGGGUUAAGUCCCGCAACGAGCGCAACCCUUGAUCUUAGUUGCCAGCAUUUAGUUGGGCACUCUAAGGUGACUGCCGGUGACAAACCGGAGGAAGGUGGGGAUGACGUCAAAUCAUCAUGCCCCUUAUGACCUGGGCUACACACGUGCUACAAUGGAUGGUACAAAGGGCUGCAAGACCGCGAGGUCAAGCCAAUCCCAUAAAACCAUUCUCAGUUCGGAUUGUAGGCUGCAACUCGCCUACAUGAAGCUGGAAUCGCUAGUAAUCGCGGAUCAGCAUGCCGCGGUGAAUACGUUCCCGGGCCUUGUACACACCGCCCGUCACACCACGAGAGUUUGUAACACCCGAAGUCGGUGGAGUAACCGUAAGGAGCUAGCCGCCUAAGGUGGGACAGAUGAUUGGAUCAGCAUGCCGCUCAUCAU
rnacentral:rRNA from 2 species